rnacentral:rRNA from 1 species
CACACUAUCAUUAACUGAAUCCAUAGGUUAAUGAGGCGAACCGGGGGAACUGAAACAUCUAAGUACCCCGAGGAAAAGAAAUCAACCGAGAUUCCCCCAGUAGCGGCGAGCGAACGGGGAGCAGCCCAGAGCCUGAAUCAGUGUGUGUGUUAGUGGAAGCGUCUGGAAAGGCGUGCGAUACAGGGUGACAGCCCCGUACACAAAAAUGCACAUGCUGUGAGCUCGAUGAGUAGGGCGGGACACGUGGUAUCCUGUCUGAAUAUGGGGGGACCAUCCUCCAAGGCUAAAUACUCCUGACUGACCGAUAGUGAACCAGUACCGUGAGGGAAAGGCGAAAAGAACCCCGGCGAGGGGAGUGAAAAAGAACCUGAAACCGUGUACGUACAAGCAGUGGGAGCACAGAGCAAUCUGUGUGACUGCGUACCUUUUGUAUAAUGGGUCAGCGACUUAUAUUCUGUAGCAAGGUUAACCGAAUAGGGGAGCCGAAGGGAAACCGAGUCUUAACUGGGCGUUAAGUUGCAGGGUAUAGACCCGAAACCCGGUGAUCUAGCCAUGGGCAGGUUGAAGGUUGGGUAACACUAACUGGAGGACCGAACCGACUAAUGUUGAAAAAUUAGCGGAUGACUUGUGGCUGGGGGUGAAAGGCCAAUCAAACCGGGAGAUAGCUGGUUCUCCCCGAAAGCUAUUUAGGUAGCGCCUCGUGAAUUCAUCUCCGGGGGUAGAGCACUGUUUCGGCAAGGGGGUCAUCCCGACUUACCAACCCGAUGCAAACUGCGAAUACCGGAGAAUGUUAUCACGGGAGACACACGGCGGGUGCUAACGUCCGUCGUGAAGAGGGAAACAACCCAGACCGCCAGCUAAGGUCCCAAAGUCAUGGUUAAGUGGGAAACGAUGUGGGAAGGCCCAGACAGCCAGGAUGUUGGCUUAGAAGCAGCCAUCAUUUAAAGAAAGCGUAAUAGCUCACUGGUCGAGUCGGCCUGCGCGGAAGAUGUAACGGGGCUAAACCAUGCACCGAAGCUGCGGCAGCGACGCUUAUGCGUUGUUGGGUAGGGGAGCGUUCUGUAAGCCUGCGAAGGUGUGCUGUGAGGCAUGCUGGAGGUAUCAGAAGUGCGAAUGCUGACAUAAGUAACGAUAAAGCGGGUGAAAAGCCCGCUCGCCGGAAGACCAAGGGUUCCUGUCCAACGUUAAUCGGGGCAGGGUGAGUCGACCCCUAAGGCGAGGCCGAAAGGCGUAGUCGAUGGGAAACAGGUUAAUAUUCCUGUACUUGGUGUUACUGCGAAGGGGGGACGGAGAAGGCUAUGUUGGCCGGGCGACGGUUGUCCCGGUUUAAGCGUGUAGGCUGGUUUUCCAGGCAAAUCCGGAAAAUCAAGGCUGAGGCGUGAUGACGAGGCACUACGGUGCUGAAGCAACAAAUGCCCUGCUUCCAGGAAAAGCCUCUAAGCAUCAGGUAACAUCAAAUCGUACCCCAAACCGACACAGGUGGUCAGGUAGAGAAUACCAAGGCGCUUGAGAGAACUCGGGUGAAGGAACUAGGCAAAAUGGUGCCGUAACUUCGGGAGAAGGCACGCUGAUAUGUAGGUGAAGUCCCUCGCGGAUGGAGCUGAAAUCAGUCGAAGAUACCAGCUGGCUGCAACUGUUUAUUAAAAACACAGCACUGUGCAAACACGAAAGUGGACGUAUACGGUGUGACGCCUGCCCGGUGCCGGAAGGUUAAUUGAUGGGGUCAGCGCAAGCGAAGCUCUUGAUCGAAGCCCCGGUAAACGGCGGCCGUAACUAUAACGGUCCUAAGGUAGCGAAAUUCCUUGUCGGGUAAGUUCCGACCUGCACGAAUGGCGUAAUGAUGGCCAGGCUGUCUCCACCCGAGACUCAGUGAAAUUGAACUCGCUGUGAAGAUGCAGUGUACCCGCGGCAAGACGGAAAGACCCCGUGAACCUUUACUAUAGCUUGACACUGAACAUUGAGCCUUGAUGUGUAGGAUAGGUGGGAGGCUUUGAAGUGUGGACGCCAGUCUGCAUGGAGCCGACCUUGAAAUACCACCCUUUAAUGUUUGAUGUUCUAACGUGGACCCGUGAUCCGGGUUGCGGACAGUGUCUGGUGGGUAGUUUGACUGGGGCGGUCUCCUCCUAAAGAGUAACGGAGGAGCACGAAGGUUGGCUAAUCCUGGUCGGACAUCAGGAGGUUAGUGCAAUGGCAUAAGCCAGCUUGACUGCGAGCGUGACGGCGCGAGCAGGUGCGAAAGCAGGUCAUAGUGAUCCGGUGGUUCUGAAUGGAAGGGCCAUCGCUCAACGGAUAAAAGGUACUCCGGGGAUAACAGGCUGAUACCGCCCAAGAGUUCAUAUCGACGGCGGUGUUUGGCACCUCGAUGUCGGCUCAUCACAUCCUGGGGCUGAAGUAGGUCCCAAGGGUAUGGCUGUUCGCCAUUUAAAGUGGUACGCGAGCUGGGUUUAGAACGUCGUGAGACAGUUCGGUCCCUAUCUGCCGUGGGCGCUGGAGAACUGAGGGGGGCUGCUCCUAGUACGAGAGGACCGGAGUGGACGCAUCACUGGUGUUCGGGUUGUCAUGCCAAUGGCACUGCCCGGUAGCUAAAUGCGGAAGAGAUAAGUGCUGAAAGCAUCUAAGCACGAAACUUGCCCCGAGAUGAGUUCUCCCUGACUCCUUGAGAGUCCUGAAGGAACGUUGAAGACGACGACGUUGAUAGGCCGGGUGUGUAAGCGCAGCGAUGCGUUGAGCUAACCGGUACUAAUGAACCGUGAGGCUUAACCUUACAACGCCGAAGGUGUUU